rnacentral:telomerase_RNA from 1 species
GCAGCUUCCCGGCGCGCAGGCGCGCCGGCCCCCGGGGGGCCGGCGCCGCCCGAAACCCUAAACCCACCAAGCGCCUUCGGGCGGGGCGGCGAGAGAGUCGCAUUCGCCCACGGGCCCGAUUUGGGGCCCCCGGAGGGGUUUUCACGGGCGCCUUUCCCCCCCGGCUGGCGACCAGAACCAAAAAAGGCGGGGUGCCGGUCACCCAUCCCCCCCCUCGGCCGGGGAGCUGCCGCGGCGCCGGAGGAGAGAGGGC